rnacentral:rRNA from 1 species
UACGGAAGGCAGCAGGGGGAAUAUUGCACAAUGGGCGAAAGCCUGAUGCAGCUAUGCCGCGUGUAUGAAGAAGGCCUUAGGGUUGUAAAGUACUUUCAUCGGGGAGGAAAAAACAAAACUAAUAAUUUUAUUUCUUGACGUUACCCGAAAAAGAAGCACCGGCUAACUCCGUGCCAGCAGCCGCGGUAAUACGGAGGGUGCUAGCGUUAAUCAGAAUUACUGGGCGUAAAGAGCACGUAGGUGGUUUUUUUAAGUCAGAUGUGAAAUCCCUGGGCUUAACCUAGGAACUGCAUUUUGAAACUGAAAUACUAGAGUAUCGUAGAGGGAGGUAGAAUUCUAGGUGUAGCGGUGAAAUGCGUAGAUAUCUGGAGGAAUACCUGUGGCGAAAGCGGCCUCCUAAACGAAUACUGACACUGAGGUGCGAAAACGUGGGGAGCAAACGAGGGAUUAGAUA